rnacentral:rRNA from 1 species
GACGAACGCUGGCGGCGUGCCUAAUACAUGCAAGUUGAGCGCUGAAGGUUGGUACUUGUACCGACUGGAUGAGCAGCGAACGGGUGAGUAACGCGUGGGGAAUCUGCCUUUGAGCGGGGGACAACAUUUGGAAACGAAUGCUAAUACCGCAUAAAAACUUUAAACACAAGUUUUAAGUUUGAAAGAUGCAAUUGCAUCACUCAAAGAUGAUCCCGCGUUGUAUUAGCUAGUUGGUGAGGUAAAGGCUCACCAAGGCGAUGAUACAUAGCCGACCUGAGAGGGUGAUCGGCCACAUUGGGACUGAGACACGGCCCAAACUCCUACGGGAGGCAGCAGUAGGGAAGCUUCGGCAAUGGACGAAAGUCUGACCGAGCAACGCCGCGUGAGGGAAGAAGGUUUUCGGAUCGUAAAACUCGGUUGGUAGAGAAGAACGUUGGUGAGAGUGGAAAGCUCAUCAAGUGACGGUAACUACACAGAAAGGGACGGCUAACUACGUG